UCACGCUGCAGCCGAGCAGGACUAGAGGCCUGUAGAUAAGGGUCAGCAGCUUCACAUAGAACCAAAAUAUAACAGAUUGAUGAAAUUAAAGGCUUGGUCCGGUUUCAGUUUCUCUGAUUCCUGGAACUGCUGGGUAUCUAAGCUGUUUAUCGCCACAAUGGGUUCUGGAGUUUGAAAGACAACAAAACCAAAACAUGCAGCGAGCAGCAGAACAGCCAGAUUUGUUACUGUGCUGAGCUGAGUGCACUGCUCAUGCAGUCUGGAGGAGGAAGUGCUACUUCUGCAGCAGAAAUCACACCUUUUUCCACUGCCAUCAACUGUAAAUCUGGAGGUGUGUGUCUGCAGCCCAAAACUCUGAGAACAAAGAUCCUCCUGUGACCAAACAGCUCAGGAAGAAGAAAUGACGAGCAUUGCAUCUUCAUCCAGAUGCCUUUAAACUGAAAAACAACAACCUCCCCUCUGAGACGUUAGGCUGAAAACAACCCGAGAGGCCUGGGACACCAGCUACAUGUUCACCACUGUCUGAGACAUCCACGUUUUCUCUCUGCAACCUGCCGUCCUGUGAGGAACUGGGCUGGAACUGCUGGAAGACAAGCAACCAUCCAAUCGGCAAGCAGGCAGUCGGGUCCCUUCAGCUCCAGAAACCCAACCUGCUUCCUUCUUGUGGGAACCAGGUCUUGUUUCUACAACCGCUGAGAAUUUAACACCUGAACACACCAGAUUAAAAAGGUU